GUUGUGCAGGGGUACAGAACAUGGCAUUAUGUGGUCAUGAGCGGCCCUUGCGUUCACCGGUAGCUGUGUGCACUUCAGGUACACGUGAAGCAGCUUCAGGUGCGCUUGGGUCGCUUAGAACAAUGCACAACUGAGGCAAA
rnacentral:snoRNA from 1 species